rnacentral:rRNA from 1 species
UACGUAGGUCCCGAGCGUUGUCCGGAUUUAUUGGGCGUAAAGCGAGCGCAGGUGGUUUAUUAAGUCUGGUGUAAAAGGCAGUGGCUCAACCAUUGUAUGCAUUGGAAACUGGUAGACUUGAGUGCAGGAGAGGAGAGUGGAAUUCCAUGUGUAGCGGUGAAGUGCGUAGAUAUAUGGAGGAACACCGGUGGCGAAAGCGGCUCUCUGGUCUGUAACUGACGCUGAGGUUCGAAAGCGUGGGUAGCAAACAGG